GUACGUAGGGGGCUAGCGUUAUCCGGAAUUACUGGGCGUAAAGGGUGCGUAGGUGGUUUCUUAAGUCAGAGGUGAAAGGCUACGGCUCAACCGUAGUAAGCCUUUGAAACUGGGAAACUUGAGUGCAGGAGAGGGAGAGUGGAAUUCCUAGUGUAGCGGUGAAAUGCGUAGAUAUUAGGAGGAACACCGAUGGCGAAGGCAGCCCCUGGGCCUGUACUGACGCUCAUGCACGAAAGCGUGGGGAGCAAACAGGAUUAGAUACCCGUGUAGUCCCUGAG
rnacentral:rRNA from 1 species